rnacentral:rRNA from 1 species
GAUGAACGCUGGCGGCGUGCCUAAUACAUGCAAGUCGAGCGAACGGACGAGAAGCUUGCUUCUCUGAUGUUAGCGGCGGAAGGGUGAGUAACACGUGGAUAACCUACCUAUAUGACUGGGAUAACUUCGGGAAACCGGAGCUAAUACCGGAUAAUAUUUUGAACCGCAUGGUUCAAAAGUGAAAGACGGUCUUGCUGUCACUUAUAGAUGGAUCCGCGCUGCAUUAGCUAGUUGGUAAGGUAACGGCUUACCAAGGCAACGAUGCAUAGCCGACCUGAGAGGGGGAUCGGCCACACUGGAACUGAGACACGGCCCAGACUCCUAGGGGAGGCAGCAGUAGGGAAUCUUCCGCAAUGGGCGAAAGCCUGACGGAGCAACGCCGCGUGAGUGAUGAAGGUCUUCGGAUCGUAAAACUCUGUUAUUAGGGAAGAACAUAUGUGUAAGUAACUGUGCACAUCUUGACGGUACCUAAUCAGAAAGCCACGGCUAACUACGUG